UGUAGGAGAGCUCCCUUCAAGGCCAGUGAAUAGGGGCCAAGUAGCCAAUUCUUUCCCAUCUGCUGAAACAUCUCAGUAUCUCUUAGAAUGGGAAACAGGAGCUUCUUGAUUAUGGAGAGUCUAAUGACACACAGAGCAAGAUAGAGGAGCUAGUAUGGAUGUUUAGUAGGAAAUGUUUGAGCUUUCAGACAGUAAAAUGUGGACUAAGAGUAUGGGCAUUUUGCUACGGAAAAUAAGGCCAGGCUAACAUUCAGAGCAGCUGGGAAGUCGAGGCUGAGGGAGAAGCAGAGAGAGGACAGCAUUGUUCCGAGUGUCAGAAUGAGGCAUCGCCGGAUGGAGACUUGGAUCAGGACAUCAUGUGCAAGAAAAAAAAAAAAGGCUUAACUACUUACUGCAAGCUAUUACUAUGGUGAGGUGCCUUGGGGCAGCAAAGAAGUACUGGGUAGACUCUGGCCCUCAGCAAUAAAAAUGGAAGCCUAGCAGCUGCUGCUGACAGAGUGCU